rnacentral:rRNA from 1 species
UACGGAGGGUGCGAGCGUUGUCCGGAAUCACUGGGCGUAAAGGGCGCGUAGGUGGCCCGACAAGUCAACGGUGAAAGCUCGAUGCUCAACAUCGAGUCGGCCGUCGAUACUGUCAGGCUGGAGCACUGUAGAGGCUCAUGGAAUUCCGGGUGUAGCGGUGGAAUGCGUAGAGAUCCGGAAGAACACCGGUGGCGAAGGCGGUGAGCUGGGCAGUAGCUGACACUGAGGCGCGACAGCGUGGGGAGCAAACAGG